AAGCCACCAGCAACGGCAACGGCAACAGGAAAAGAAAAUAAAAUGGGAAACAAAUACGUUGCAGUGUUGCUGGUGGUGUGCCUCGUAGCCGCUGCAGGUGUUGAUGCUCAAAUAGAUCGUAUGAGUCAAUGCGUUAACAGUUGUCUUGAUUAUCAGUGCAAAGAUAACCCUACAAUGCUUUGCACCUUCGUCUGUCGAUUCGGUUGUGCAUCUGCAGGGAUUCAAAGCGGUAUAACUUAAUCUAUUU
rnacentral:lncRNA from 1 species